GAUGAACGCUGGCGGCGUGCCUAAUACAUGCAAGUCGAGCGAACGGACGAGGAGCUUGCUCCUCUGAUGUUAGCGGCGGACGGGUGAGUAACACGUGGAUAACCUACCUAUAAGACUGGGAUAACUUCGGGAAACCGGAGCUAAUACCGGAUGAUAUUUUGAACCGCAUGGUUCAAUAGUGAAAGACGGUUUUGCUGUCACUUAUAGAUGGAUCCGCGCUGCAUUAGCUAGUUGGUAAGGUAACGGCUUACCAAGGCAACGAUGCGUAGCCGACCUGAGAGGGUGAUCGGCCACACUGGAACUGAGACACGGUCCAGACUCCUACGGGAGGCAGCAGUAGGGAAUCUUCCGCAAUGGGCGAAAGCCUGACGGAGCAACGCCGCGUGAGUGAUGAAGGUCUUCGGAUCGUAAAACUCUGUUAUUAGGGAAGAACAAAUGUGUAAGUAACUGUGCACGUCUUGACGGUACCUAAUCAGAAAGCCACGGCUAACUACGUG
rnacentral:rRNA from 1 species